rnacentral:rRNA from 2 species
CUGGCUCAGGAUGAACGCUGGCGGCGUGCCUAAUACAUGCAAGUCGAACGAGUUCUGAUUAUUGAAAGGUGCUUGCAUCUUGAUUUAAUUUUGAACGAGUGGCGGACGGGUGAGUAACACGUGGGUAACCUGCCCUUAAGUGGGGGAUAACAUUUGGAAACAGAUGCUAAUACCGCAUAAAUCCAAGAACCGCAUGGUUCUUGGCUGAAAGAUGGCGUAAGCUAUCGCUUUUGGAUGGACCCGCGGCGUAUUAGCUAGUUGGUGAGGUAACGGCUCACCAAGGCAAUGAUACGUAGCCGAACUGAGAGGUUGAUCGGCCACAUUGGGACUGAGACACGGCCCAAACUCCUACGGGAGGCAGCAGUAGGGAAUCUUCCACAAUGGACGCAAGUCUGAUGGAGCAACGCCGCGUGAGUGAAGAAGGCUUUCGGGUCGUAAAACUCUGUUGUUGGAGAAGAAUGGUCGGCAGAGYAACUGUUGUCGGCGUGACGGUAUCCAACCAGAAAGCCACGGCUAACUACGUGCCAGCAGCCGCGGUAAUACGUAGGUGGCAAGCGUUAUCCGGAUUUAUUGGGCGUAAAGCGAGCGCAGGCGGUUUUUUAAGUCUGAUGUGAAAGCCCUCGGCUUAACCGAGGAAGUGCAUCGGAAACUGGGAAACUUGAGUGCAGAAGAGGACAGUGGAACUCCAUGUGUAGCGGUGAAAUGCGUAGAUAUAUGGAAGAACACCAGUGGCGAAGGCGGCUGUCUGGUCUGUAACUGACGCUGAGGCUCGAAAGCAUGGGUAGCGAACAGGAUUAGAUACCCUGGUAGUCCAUGCCGUAAACGAUGAAUGCUAGGUGUUGGAGGGUUUCCGCCCUUCAGUGCCGCAGCUAACGCAUUAAGCAUUCCGCCUGGGGAGUACGACCGCAAGGUUGAAACUCAAAGGAAUUGACGGGGGCCCGCACAAGCGGUGGAGCAUGUGGUUUAAUUCGAAGCAACGCGAAGAACCUUACCAGGUCUUGACAUCUUUUGAUCACCUGAGAGAUCAGGUUUCCCCUUCGGGGGCAAAAUGACAGGUGGUGCAUGGUUGUCGUCAGCUCGUGUCGUGAGAUGUUGGGUUAAGUCCCGCAACGAGCGCAACCCUUAUGACUAGUUGCCAGCAUUUAGUUGGGCACUCUAGUAAGACUGCCGGUGACAAACCGGAGGAAGGUGGGGAUGACGUCAAAUCAUCAUGCCCCUUAUGACCUGGGCUACACACGUGCUACAAUGGAUGGUACAACGAGUUGCGAGACCGCGAGGUCAAGCUAAUCUCUUAAAGCCAUUCUCAGUUCGGACUGUAGGCUGCAACUCGCCUACACGAAGUCGGAAUCGCUAGUAAUCGCGGAUCAGCACGCCGCGGUGAAUACGUUCCCGGGCCUUGUACACACCGCCCGUCACACCAUGAGAGUUUGUAACACCCGAAGCCGGUGGCGUAACCCUUUUAGGGAGCGAGCCGUCUAAGGUGGGACAAAUGAUUAGGGUGAAGUCGU